GCAAAUUUAGAUUAAAAUAAUUAAAAAAAGGGGAUGGAUACAUAGAUUCCAUAUACAGGAGGUCACAAUCUCAGCCACGUGGUUGAUAUGGAAAACAAAAAAUCAAAGUGUGGUGUCGUGGGGUGCAUGUGGUAACCCUAACCAUUUGCAUGUCUAUCUUUUUCUAUUAAUGUUUUGUUGUGAAGUAUCGAGGCAGUUUCUAUUACUUGCUAAAUGGUCUAGUGCUUUCUUGUUGUAUUGAUACAAAUUGUAUCUCAUGCUAGUCUUAAUCAUUCUAAACAAGUGGUUCAAUCACUUUCAGAAAUUGGCUCAUAGGCGUGGGAAGAGUGCAAGACUAAGUUUCUUUUCUUUUGGAUGUUACAGAAUCUAAAAUGGGCAGAAACAUGGGUCAUUGAAAUACCUUGCCCAGAGAGAGAGGUUGUGAUAUGUGAAGGGCCCACCAAGAAUCCAUCAACCUCAGCUGCGUCUUUGGGCCUUACUCAAAUGCUCCCUGGGUUUUGUAGUUCAUAUCAUGAAAGAUCCAUCACCAUCGCCUUGCCUAGGUUCAACCUUAUGCUUCUUUCAACCUUCUCCAUUCCUGCAUACGCCAUACCAUAAAAAGAACAUGUACAUACACAGUUCAUAGAGAGAAAAUACUUGUUUACAUCUCUUCUCUCUCUCUCUCUCUCUCUCUC
rnacentral:misc_RNA from 1 species